GUUACAGGUGUCGCCAUCAAUCCGUUGCCCCCUUCGCCUAUAAAAGGGGGGGACUCAGAUACGUUAUUCUCUAAGCUCAUUUCCUUAUCUCAAAACUCUGCUAAAUUCUCCGUUCGAGCACUCCAUUCUUGUUGAGGCAGAGAACUGACUUGAGCGUCGGAGGGUCUUGCCGGAGCAACCCCACCUCCGGUUUAGACUUCCCUUG
rnacentral:lncRNA from 1 species